rnacentral:rRNA from 1 species
GACGAACGCUGGCGGCGUGCCUAAUACAUGCAAGUAGAACGCUGAAGAGAGGAGCUUGCUCUUCUUGGAUGAGUUGCGAACGGGUGAGUAACGCGUAGGUAACCUGCCUUGUAGCGGGGGAUAACUAUUGGAAACGAUAGCUAAUACCGCAUAACAAUGGAUGACCCAUGUCAUUUAUUUGAAAGGGGCAAAUGCUCCACUACAAGAUGGACCUGCGUUGUAUUAGCUAGUAGGUGAGGUAACGGCUCACCUAGGCGACGAUACAUAGCCGACCUGAGAGGGUGAUCGGCCACACUGGGACUGAGACACGGCCCAGACUCCUACGGGAGGCAGCAGUAGGGAAUCUUCGGCAAUGGGGGCAACCCUGACCGAGCAACGCCGCGUGAGUGAAGAAGGUUUUCGGAUCGUAAAGCUCUGUUGUAAGUCAAGAACGAGGGUGAGAGUGGAAAGUUCACACUGUGACGGUAGCUUAACAGAAAGGGACGGCUAACUACGUG